GGCGGGGAUGUGGUGUUGGACGACACGAUGAGACGAAACCCCUGGGCACGUGGGCAUCAUAUUGCCAAGGCAGUUUGGAGAACAGAGACAGAGACAGAGAGAGAGAGAGAAAGAGAUAGAGAGACAGAGAGAGAGAGAGAGAGAGAGAGAGAGAGAGAGAGAGCGAGAGAGAGAUUCAUAUUGAAAUUAUGUGUAUAUAAAAGUAUCAACAG